AUUAGCCUACGGGGGGCAGCAGUGGGGAAUAUUGGGCAAUGGGCGCAAGCCUGACCCAGCAACGCCGCGUGAAGGAAGAAGGCUUUCGGGUUGUAAACUUCUUUUCUCAGGGACGAAGAAAGUGACGGUACCUGAGGAAUAAGCCACGGCUAACUACGUGCCAGCAGCCGCGGUAAUACGUAGGUGGCAAGCGUUAUCCGGAUUUACUGGGUGUAAAGGGCGGGUAGGCGGGGAAGCAAGUCAGGUGAGACAACCACG
rnacentral:rRNA from 1 species